rnacentral:rRNA from 1 species
CAGUCGCCGCGGGAAUACGAAGGGUGCAAGCGUUAAUCGGAAUUACUGGGCGUAAAGCGUGCGUAGGCGGUUUGUUAAGUCUGCUGUGAAAUCCCCGGGCUCAGCCUGGGAAUGGCAGUGGAUACUGGCAAGCUAGAGUGUGUCAGAGGAUGGUGGAAUUCCCCGUGUAGCGGUGAAAUGCGUAGAGAUCGGGAGGAACAUCAGUGGCGAAGGCGGCCAUCUGGGACAACACUGACGCUGAGGCACGAAAGCGUGGGGAGCAAACAGGAUUAGAUACCCCCGUAGUCCCUGUCUCUUAUAA